UUUAGUUAUUUUUCAGUUUUUUAAGCGCUUUUGAAAAGUGCUUUUUAAAUAAGCUGUUUUUGUUUUCUGCAGAUUACAGGUUUGAAGAGACUUGAUGGAAUGGAAGGUGGUUGCUCCAAGCUUCAAGACAACCUUGUUUUCGUGCCUAAGUCCAAAGGGAUUAAUCAGUCCACUGAUUUUGGUCUUGGUCAUUAGAAUUAGGAACCUGUUUCCAUCUGUAGCAAUUUUUUCACUGUAAUUACUUAGUUUAGUUUUUU
rnacentral:lncRNA from 1 species